rnacentral:rRNA from 1 species
UACGUAGGGGGCAAGCGUUAUCCGGAUUUACUGGGUGUAAAGGGAGCGUAGACGGCUGUGCAAGCCAGAUGUGAAAGCCCGGGGCUCAACCCCGGGACUGCAUUUGGAACUGCGUGGCUUGAGUGUCGGAGAGGCAGGCGGAACUCCUAGUGUAGCGGUGAAAUGCGUAGAUAUUAGGAGGAACACCAGUGGCGAAGGCGGCCUGCUGGACGAUGACUGACGUUGAGGCUCGAAAGCGUGGGGAGCAAACAGG